rnacentral:rRNA from 1 species
AUUGAACGCUGGCGGCAUGCCUUACACAUGCAAGUCGAACGGCAGCACGGGUGCUUGCACCUGGUGGCGAGUGGCGAACGGGUGAGUAAUACAUCGGAACAUGUCCUGUAGUGGGGGAUAGCCCGGCGAAAGCCGGAUUAAUACCGCAUACGAUCUACGGAUGAAAGCGGGGGACCUUCGGGCCUCGCGCUAUCGGGUUGGCCGAUGGCUGAUUAGCUAGUUGGUGGGGUAAAGGCCUACCAAGGCGACGAUCAGUAGCUGGUCUGAGAGGACGACCAGCCACACUGGGACUGAGACACGGCCCAGACUCCUACGGGAGGCAGCAGUGGGGAAUUUUGGACAAUGGGAGAAAGCCUGAUCCAGCAAUGCCGCGUGUGUGAAGAAGGCCUUCGGGUUGUAAAGCACUUUUGUCCGGAAAGAAAUCCUUGGCCCUAAUACGGUCGGGGGAUGACGGUACCGGAAGAAUAAGCACCGGCUAACUACGUG